GCCACUACCAGCGCCCGACCUCGAGCUCCUUCUCCCGUGCGCCUCCUCCCUGGCCUCCCUCGCGCGUCGUCUGGCGACCGGCGCUGCCGCCGCCGCUGACCACCCAGGUCACGCCGCCGCUCCCAUGCCUUCUCUCUCUCUAAUCUCCUUGUCUCUCCUAUCCAGGAGCUCAGCGCCAUGGAUGUCCCGUCCUCGAGCUCUCCUUGGAGGUUCGAACGCCGCCACGGGACCUCCACCAGCCAGAUCCGACGCCUACCUCCCGGAUCCGCGCUCCCUCCACCUCCUCUACCCGAUCCGGCGCCGCCGAACCCGCCAUGACCUCCACCAUGGAGUUCCUGUAGCUCGUCCCCUGCCUCCUCGUCCUGUGCUCGAGGGAGACGCCCCUCCAGCGCAUCGAGGACAAGGCCCACCACCAGCCGGUCGUCGUUGCACUCGCCGGCGACCUCACCGUCCCCUCUGCACUGCCCUCCACCUCAACUGAUGCUUCUCAUCAACAGGGAUAGAUUUAGCUGGUCAUAGCUUGUGGAUGUUCUCUGUUAUUUUUUGCACACAAGGUGUUUGUGUGCUUGUCCAAGCCAAUGUUCAUGAGCUUUAUCUUUGCUAUAAAUGACAUGGCUGAGAAGGUCCCUUCAAUGAAAGGAGGAGUAUAGUCUUGGCCAUGGCUGGGAAGGAAGGAGAACAUGUAAAUUGAGGAUUUUUCAGAGAGAUUAGGACUGCUUGAUUUAUCAAAGAGAAAACCUUGAUCUGGAGCUUCGUCGAUGCAGGCCUUCAUGCUGGGCCGAGGAGGAGCGCGCCGUCGAGAUCGUUGAUGACAGCGACAUGGGCGAGGCCGGGGAGGAGGUCAUGGUUGAUGCUUUACUGCCUGAACAUGUUGACCGGGAACAAGAGGGUAAGGUGGAUGUGAGGGCGGAGGCGCAUGCCAUGGUGCAGGAUGUUGUGGAAGCCCGAUUAUUUGAGGAAGUGACAGCCACUGGGAGCAUGGAUCGACAGACUAGACAGACCAAGUCCAUUGAUCGGUUGAUUCAACAACGAAGGAAGAGGCAGAAGGUUAUAAAAACGAGCUUGGGGAUUUACUGACCUGAAUCUUAAACAGGGCCGCCCAGCUGAUGGACUCAAGCUCCAGGUUUGCUCCUAGCACGUCUUAAUUACAUUGGCUCUUGAUAAAAUGUCUAGCAUGAUGGAUAAUGAGUUCAUUCUGUGAUGCCACAUAGAUAUGCAAAGUCAUAGUCCUGCAUGUAUGCACAUCUACUGAUACAUACAAACCGAUCGACGGGCACACACAUUAGUAAGUUCUGCUACUAGCCUAAUCAAGAGCCUUUUAUACAACCCCGCAAAAAAGCCUUUUAUACAGCCUUGCAGAUAAAAAUGAAUUGAAUUAUGAGCAUCUGACAACUAUGAUCAAUUUCCUGGUUAUACUUCCUGAAAUAAAGGUGGCCGACCAAAUGAAAGGAUGGAUGCUUUCCUUUAUGUGAGAUUAUAUAAAUUAUCUUACUUGAUCUGCAAUGUUUCUUUGGAAAUUUUUUAUGAAAGACACAUGACACAUAGUUUGCUGGAUAGGUCUAAGAUAAAUAUUUCAGUUAUAGGAGGAUAUUUUUAAAUGGGUAAUACUAUUACCGCCAUCUGCUUGGCCUGUUGUGCUUUGGGUAGAGCUUUCAUAUUUCAACACAAAAAAAAACAACAAUGCAAGUUGGGACUAGAAUAGCACACACAUCCUCAAAGGAAACAUCAGUUGGGAGUGCUCAAGUAUUCAGUUUCUUGGAUGAUGUAUUAUGUUCUCGCUUAUCAUGUACUCCCUCUGUAAACAAAUAUAAGACCUUUUUGAUAACUAAAGUAGUGAUCUAACAGGUCCUAUAUUUGUUACAGAGGGAGUAUGUUUCUAGAUAUCCGUCAACUCCAAUGUUUCAUUUAUCUACUCUCUGAAUAUGAAGAAGAUAGGCUUGCAAAGUAGCUUUUUACGUGAAUAAUGUGACAAACAUUUAUAUCUUAUAACUGCAAACAAUUUUUUUUGUUUAGUCCGUCACCGAGCAAAUGUUUGGGAGUUGGAAAUUAUUUGGAUACACAUGAUCUCAGAAAAGAAAGAUUCACACAUACUACAACCAAAGGACCUCCUUCACUCUCUGUUCAACUACAGAAAUUAUCCUUAUGAGCAGCACCCUAGAUUUAGUUGUGGGUUCUAACAUAUUAGAGAUGUGGUUAGAAUACCUACUGCUCUGAACAAUUAAGUGGUUUGUAUAAACCACCGAUUCCCUCGUGCAGUACACACUUAAUUGUUUCUGAACUAUAUUACUUUUUAUGUUCAUUCUUCUGUCCUUUUAAAUCACUAAUUUAGUUGCAAGUAUUUUAUUUGUUAUCGUUUGGCUUCUUAAGAAAAAAUCUAGCAAGCAACGACUCGACUGAUGAAAGAGAUGUUGACCAUCUUUGCUGCAGUGAGUGGAGGAAUCUCAAGAGUUAGGAAUGGUACCCCGACAAUUGUGAGCGGCACAAAGGAAGGGUCGCCAUCACCAAGGAAGUACGCUGACAAUUGUGGACUCGAAAGAGGAACAAGCUCUAUAUUUAGUGCGUUGAGUUGCUAUUUUAAAUUCUGAGAGGUGUUGAAUUUCGUCGAUUUCUAAGAUAUUGACUCGGAAGAAUUAUUAUUUUGCUUGAUGUAAACUCAGAUUAAUUUGUCAUGUCAUUUGAACCGAACAACCUUUUUGUGACAUCACUUCAUGAUUUUUGUGGGAUAUUUUUUUACA